AAAACUGAUUUUAGUUAAUCUUUAUUUUGGUGGAGAAAUAUCACACAGUUUUUAUUGCAUAGUUUUUAAAUAUUAAGUUGCCAGUGUGAAAAAGUGGAGGGAUAAACAGUUGUGGGAGGGAGUUGAGGAAAGAAUGGUAGUUAAAGAAGAAACCCGUGCUCAGGUGUAUCCAGAGAGGAAGGGAGGAUAGUUUAAGGAAGGUUUCAUUUAAUUUAGUUUACUUGGAAGAAAUUCAAGCAUAUUUUUGCUCUGAGGGGAUGGAGCUAGGGUAGAAGGAGUAGUUGAAAUUAUACCAGAGAAAAACAAAAUCUGGUACACAUGAGAAAGGAUGGAAUCUUAAGCAGUACUU
rnacentral:lncRNA from 1 species